rnacentral:rRNA from 1 species
UCUUCCGGUUCUCGUUAGAUCACCGAAGUCAAGCAUCAUAGGGCGCGGUCAGUAUUUGGGUGGGUGACCACCUGGGAACACCGCGUGCUGUU